rnacentral:rRNA from 1 species
AGAGUUUGAUCCUGGCUCAGGAUGAACGCUAGCUACAGGCUUAACACAUGCAAGUCGAGGGGCAGCAUGGGAGUAGCUUGCUACUCUUGAUGGCGACCGGCGCACGGGUGCGUAACACGUAUCCAAUCUACCCAUGGCUCGGGAAUAGCCUUUCGAAAGAAAGAUUAAUGCCCGAUGGUCUGUCAGUGAGACAUCUCGCAGGCAGUAAAGAUUAAUCGGCGAUGGAUGAGGAUGCGUCUGAUUAGGUAGUAGGCGGGGUAACGGCCCACCUAGCCGACGAUCAGUAGGGGUUCUGAGAGGAAGGUCCCCCACAUUGGAACUGAGACACGGUCCAAACUCCUACGGGAGGCAGCAGUGAGGAAUAUUGGUCAAUGGUCGAGAGACUGAACCAGCCAAGUAGCGUGAAGGAAGACUGCCCUAUGGGUUGUAAACUUCUUUUGUUUGGGAAUAAAGUGGGUCACGUGUGGCCUUUUGUAUGUACCAUACGAAUAAGCAUCGGCUAAUUCCGUGCCAGCAGCCGCGGUAAUACGGAAGAUGCGAGCGUUAUCCGGAUUUAUUGGGUUUAAAGGGAGCGCAGGCUGGAUUUUAAGCGUGUUGUGAAAUGUACCGGCUCAACCGGUGAUGUGCAGCGCGAACUGGAGUCCUUGAGUGAGUACGACGUCAGCGGAAUUCGUGGUGUAGCGGUGAAAUGCUUAGAUAUCACGAAGAACCCCGAUUGCGAAGGCAGCUGACGAGUCCUUAACUGACGCUAAAGCUCGAAAGUGCGGGUAUCGAACAGGAUUAGAUACCCUGGUAGUCCGCACGGUAAACGAUGGAUGCCCGCUGUUGGCGAUAUAUUGUCAGCGGCCAAGCGAAAGCGUUAAGCAUCCCACCUGGGGAGUACGCCGGCAACGGUGAAACUCAAAGGAAUUGACGGGGGCCCGCACAAGCGGAGGAACAUGUGGUUUAAUUCGAUGAUACGCGAGGAACCUUACCCGGGCUUGAACUGCAGGCGAACGAUACAGAGAUGUUGAGGCCCUUCGGGGCGCCUGUGGAGGUGCUGCAUGGUUGUCGUCAGCUCGUGCCGUGAGGUGUCGGCUUAAGUGCCAUAACGAGCGCAACCCCUUUCUCCAGUUACCAUCAGGUAGAGCUGGGCACUCUGGAGACACUGCCACCGUAAGGUGUGAGGAAGGUGGGGAUGACGUCAAAUCAGCACGGCCCUUACGUCCGGGGCUACACACGUGUUACAAUGGGUGGUACAGAGAGUCGGUCGCUGCAAUAGCGAUCCAAUCCUAAAAGCCAUCCUCAGUUCGGAUUGGGGUCUGCAACCCGACCCCAUGAAGCUGGAUUCGCUAGUAAUCGCGCAUCAGCCAUGGCGCGGUGAAUACGUUCCCGGGCCUUGUACACACCGCCCGUCAAGCCAUGAAAGCCGGGGGCGCCUGAAGUCCGUGACCGCGAGGGUCGGCCUAGGGUGAAACCGGUGAUUGGGGCUAAGUCGUAACAAGGUAGCCGUA